rnacentral:rRNA from 1 species
AACGAACGCUGGCGGCAUGUCUAACACAUGCAAGUCGAACGAGACCUUCGGGUCUAGUGGCGCACGGGUGCGUAACGCGUGGGAACCUGCCCUUAGGUUCGGAAUAACUCCCCGAAAGGGGUGCUAAUACCGGAUAAUGUCUUCGGACCAAAGAUUUAUCGCCUUUGGAUGGGCCCGCGUUGGAUUAGCUAGUUGGUAGGGUAAAAGCCUACCAAGGCGACGAUCCAUAGCUGGUCUGAGAGGAUGAUCAGCCACACUGGGACUGAGACACGGCCCAGACUCCUACGGGAAGCAGCAGUGGGGAAUAUUGGACAAUGGGCGAAAGCCUGAUCCAGCAAUGCCGCGUGAGUGAUGAAGGCCUUAGGGUUGUAAAGCUCUUUUACCCGGGAUGAUAAUGACAGUACCGGGAGAAUAAGCUCCGGCUAACUACGUG